GAUGAACGCUGGCGGCGUGCCUAAUACAUGCAAGUCGAGCGAACGGACGAGAAGCUUGCUUCUCUGAUGUUAGCGGCGGACGGGUGAGUAACACGUGGAUAACCUACCUCUAAGACUGGGAUAACUUCGGGAAACCGGAGCUAAUACCGGAUAAUAUUUUGAACCGCAUGGUUCAAAAGUGAAAGACGGUCUUGCUGUCACUUAUAGAUGGAUCCGCGCUGCAUAAGCUAGUUGGUAAGGUAACGGCUUACCAAGGCAACGAUGCAUAGCCGACCUGAGAGGGUGAUCGGCCACACUGGAACUGAGACACGGUCCAGACUCCUACGGGAGGCAGCAGUAGGGAAUCUUCCGCAAUGGGCGAAAGCCUGACGGAGCAACGCCGCGUGAGUGAUGAAGGUCUUCGGAUCGUAAAACUCUGUUAUUAGGGAAGAACAUAUGUGUAAGUAACUGUGCACAUCUUGACGGUACCUAAUCAGAAAGCCACGGCUAACUACGUG
rnacentral:rRNA from 1 species